AUUAGAUGAGCCUAUAUUAGAUUAGCUAGUUGGUGGAGUAAUAGCCUACCAAGGCAAUGAUCUAUAGCUGAUCUGAGAGGAUGAUCAGCCACACUGGAACUGAGAUACGGUCCAGACUCCUACGGGAGGCAGCAGUGGGGAAUAUUGGACAAUGGGCGAAAGCCUGAUCCAGCUAUGCCGCAUGAGUGAAGAAGGCCUUUGGGUUGUAAAGCUCUUUUAGUGAGGAAGAUAAUGACGGUACUCACAGAAGAAGUCCUGGCUAACUCCGUGCCAGCAGCCGCGGUAAUACGGAGAGGGCUAGCGUUAUUCGGAAUUAUUGGGCGUAAAGGGCGCGUAGGCUGAUUGAUAAGUUAAAAGUGAAAUCCCGAGGCUUAACCUUGGAAUUGCUUUUAAAACUAUUAAUCUAGAGAUUGAAAGAGGAUAGAGGAAUUCCUGAUGUAGAGGUAAAAUUCGUAAAUAUUAGGAGGAACACCAGUGGCGAAGGCGUCUAUCUGGUUCAAAUCUGACGCUGAGGCGCGAAGGCGUGGGGAGCAAACAGGAUUAGAUACCCUGGUAGUCCACGCUGUAAACGAUGAAUGUUAAAUAUGGGAAG
rnacentral:rRNA from 1 species